GGGGUCCACACGGUAGCCGUGCAGUGAAGAGAAAGAAAAGAGACGUGAGGCAGAUGGGACGACGGACUCCCUCUUCGGCCGCACAAGCCUAGAGGACGACGCCACGUCGGUAGGAUCGAUGGCAGUAGCAGGAGGUGGCGCAACAGGUGCAGCAACAGCAGGCUCGGUCUCCGCCGGGUCCUCCUCAACAGAAGGUGAAGUCGGAGGUGGUGCAGGUGGUGCAUGACCAGUGCCUGGUCCACAGUGAACUGAGGGCGGCAAGUCAAAACUCAGCUCCAUACGCCAUAGCACUCCUCUCGUCAAGCGUCCUCGCUCAUCCGUCCGGUCCUCCAUGACCCUUCCCCUGUACGUCGCUCGGUGACCAGGGACAUCAAUCACCCAAGCGGUGGGGCAGCACGAUCGACGAGCUCAAACCUGAUCCCCCUAGUCGAGCCGGUCUCCACAUCUACCUCUCCUGUAAGUACAUCCUCCUCCACCACCCUCAUCAAGGGGUCCACACGGUAGCCGUGCAGUGAAGAGAAAGAAAAGAGACGUGAGGCAGAUGGGACGACGGACUCCCUCUUCGGCCGCACAAGCCUAGAGGACGACGCCACGUCGGUAGGAUCGAUGGCAGUAGCAGGAGGUGGCGCAACAGGUGCAGCAACAGCAGGCUCGGUCUCCGCCGGGUCCUCCUCAACAGAAGGUGAAGUCGGAAGUGGUGCAGGUGGUGCAUGACCAGUGCCUGGUCCACAGUGAACUGAGGGCGGCAAGUCAAAACUCAGCUCCAUAUGCC
rnacentral:lncRNA from 1 species